ensembl:lncRNA
AGCUAGAGUGAGACAACAGAUGGCAGUGAUGCAACACUAUGGAUGCCAACUGCCGUAAAAAUCCGAAGAAGAAGAAGAAGAAGAAGAAGAAGAAGAAGAAGAAGACGACACCCAAACGUCAGCUCCAAAAACGCAACAACAACAAAAGAAGAUGUAUUAGUUAAGGACAUAACGUCAUCUUCCGGUGAUCGCGGAUAAAUCUGAACCAUGGCUUCGUCCAGCGACUCAACACAGACAGCAGGUAACUUUCUGCCUUCAAGAAGCACUUCAGACUCACUUUGAUCGAAACAAACAUCUUAACUAAUCACAGACCAGUGUGAGUUUUCUCCAGAGUCUAAGUUCUGUUUUCAUCACGGGAUGCUGUUUACCUCGAGUCUGAACAGAAACUGUUUUUAUCCAGCUUUCCUUCAUCGUUAUUCAGCAGCGUGUUGUUAUUUCAUUUAAAUGCAUGUUAGAGAACCCCAACUGCAGAGAUUUGAGAUGAAGUAUUGUUGAAACGGCAACAAACUGUGCUGUGAAUUUCUGAAAACAAGUACAGAGUUGAACAGAUUAAUCAGCAUAUUAGAAUGAUUUCUGAAGAUCAUGAGACACUGAAGACUGGAGUAAUGAUGCUGAAAAUACAGCUGUGCAUCACAGAAAUAACAUUACAGUUGAAUGUAUAUUAAAAUAGAAAAAGGAGAAUCUGGAGCUGGGAUAACCUCCAAAACCAAAGGUGAUACCAUUUUAAAAGCUCAUUAUCAUCAAGUGUUUCUAAGUUCAGAGGCAGAUUGCCAGUAACAGCUAUUUUAGGAGAGUUUGUGGUUUGAUCUUAUAGUGACUUUAGGACUCCUCCUCACUGCUCCUAAUCUUUCACAGAUUCAGGAGCUUGUUUUAGUGCUAAAACACUUUGUGAAACACUCUUAGAGCAAAAAAGCAGGAGUACUCAAUUUAGGACUGACACCCAUUAUUAAAAAUUUUCCCCUAAAUCUAUGAGUUAUGAGCUACUUUUAGUUUUAGCCUGAAAAUGUUUUGUAAAUAUGGCCCCUGUCAGAGGAGAGGUGUUACGCAUUCUUCCUAAGUCACAGUCCACAGAAAGCUGGAGGUUUUUCUUUCUUUUAUUUU